CGAUGCAACGCGAAGAACCUUACUGGUCUUGACAUCCCGGAGACCCUUAGGAAACUAGGGGUGCUUCCAUCUGGAAGAAUCUGGAGACAGGUGCUGCAUGGCUGUCGUCAGCUCGUGUCGUGAGAUGUUGGGUUAAGUCCCGCAACGAGCGCAACCCUUGCCUUUAGUUGCCAGCAGUUCGGCUGGGCACUCUAAAGGGACUGCCGGUGUUAAACCGGAGGAAGGUGGGGAUGACGUCAAGUCCUCAUGGCCUUUAUGACCAGGGCUACACACGUACUACAAUGGCCGAUACAAAGGGCAGCGACACUGCGAGGUGAAGCCAAUCCCGUAAAAUCGGUCUCAGUCCGGAUUGGAGUCUGCAACUCGACUCCAUGAAGUUGGAAUCGCUAGUAAUCGUGGAUCAGCAUGCCACGGUGAAUACGUUCCCGGGCCUU
rnacentral:rRNA from 1 species